UCUUAUUUAACUUCUUACUUUUCUCUGCCAUCUCCUAGGUUUUGGCUGACAGAUAACAUAGGGCAGUGAUCAAAGGGUUUACCUUCUCUGUGCCUCAGCUGCCCCAUCUCGAAAGUGGGCAUAAUAGUAUCAUAGGGUUAUUAUGAAAAUAAAAUGACACAGUGCACAGGAUGCAUUUACAACAGUGCCUAGCACAUGGUUUCCUUCGUCAGUCCAGGCAGGACUGUGCGGGUGGAAAAGGGACGGAUGCUGGUCCUGGAAGGGGCGUCGUUAUCUAGAAGCUCCCAACCUAAGUGGGUGACUCAUAGGGAGGGCAAGGAGAGAAGGACACAGCAAGCAACUUACAUGUAAAACAAGACGUGUGGGUUAUUAUGGAAGAAAUUCACAACCAAACUUGGGGUUAGCCCGUAUUGUUUUCCAAGAACUCUAUGUGGACAGUGACAAAAAACAGACCUAAGAACUAGCAGAUCGGGCAAAGCUUUUUCACAUAACAACAAAGAAAAAGCAAUUCCUCAGGAAAAAAUUGUCAAUGGGUCAUUGUGUGUAGACAAAACUACAAGUUCUGCUCCAGACUCUGGGGAAACCAAGCUGCCAUCUUCAAGCUGUGGCCAUUCUGUAAUACAGACUACGCUAAAUCACAUGUUGGCAUCAAGGCAGAAUAUUUUGUUCCUUUAUGGGUCAGCGUGGGAUACAAAAUUAGAGAAACUUUGCAAUGAAAAAUCCCUUGUGUCUCAUUGAACUUUUUCCUUAAUUCAAACCUUUCCUUUCACAGUUUUGAUUAGUGCCUUUGCCCAUGUGGACAAUAUUUUAUGAUCAGGUUUUAAGAGUAAUCCAUCCAUGGCUGAUUGGCUGCCUGGAACUUAAAACAACGACAACAACAAUGUCCAGAUAAACCCAAUAAAAUAGGCUUUUAAAUGUG